CACUCGCCGCAGCUCUCAGCUCCAGGCCAGCAGCCCUGGCGAGGGAAAGAGGCGGUCAGCAAACAACCCGGAAGGGGGCCACGCGGAGACGCUGGAUCAGGCUCUCGGGGAACCCCCACUGGCCCUGCCCCUCUCUGGCAGAAGAGGUAGCUCCCCAGACCUGGCCUCCGCCCGGCAGGACCGGGGAGUCUCCCGCGCACUGGGAGAGGCGCGGAGCCAGGUGGAGGCCUGGACCGACAUCAAGAAGACCCCUAAGGCCUCAAGGCCACCCUACACCCUCUCCUCUACAGGAAGCUGUUUGGAAAAACAGAAAAGGAGGGACACCCCUCUCCCACACACAGGGCUUUGACAGAGGCGGAGCCUGCCCCCAGGAAAUGACUCCUCUGGUGCCACAGGCUGGCUGGUUAACAAGUGGCACGAGCCUGCUGUUCAGAUGAAAGGGGCUGAGAGAGCCACGCUGCGAUCGCCACCACCGCCACCUUCCGAACCCGCCAGCCUCCGCCCACAGCCUCUCCUAGAGUAACUUGGAGCCGGGGCCUGGGCGGUGCUGCCUGGCGAGCCCUGCUUCCGGCCAGCUGGUCCUUGGAGCCAGGCAGGUGGACAGAGGGACCGUAAGGAAGUCACCCACGGGCACCUGGAGCCAGAUGCCACCCCCCGGCGGGAGGCAAAGGGGACUGGCGAGUAUUGGAGGCCCUGAAGCUCCCGCGGUGACUUUAAGCCGGGGCAGUUCUGGAGAGCGCACUUCAGGCCCUGUCAGCAGAUCUGGAGUAUAAAUCAGCGCGACAGCA